rnacentral:misc_RNA from 1 species
AGCUGUGUGCACUUCCUCUGUACUUAGUCCUCUUCACUCUCCCCUCGGCCACCAAGCAGAACGAGUCUCUUCCCUCUACACCGCCCAACACCCGCUGCCUUUUCUUUUUCUCCACCGCCCGCCCUCGACAUCGUUGUGCCUUUCGCUUCCGUUGUUUCUUCAUUGUUCCUCCCUCCCUUUCCCUCUCUCGCGUGGUGUGCUUUGUUUGUUUUGUGUGUCUUGGUGUGGGUGCGUCUCCCGCACGCACGCACGCACACACACACACACACACAUAUAUAUAUUUCCUAGCCUUUCUGCCUUUUUGCUGUCUCUGUUUAGCAGUCUGUAUACACCCGGUUGUGCGCUCUUCCGCUGGCCCUGCCGUGUCACCGCCCUCUCACCCCUCCUCUAGUGGAUAACAACCAGUUGUGCGCGCUUGGCCGUCCUCUUUCCCCCCCCCCCCCAGUGCCCGGCACAGACGCACCAUCACACACUGCAGACGCCUGCUUCACUCAGCAGCCUCAGCCACUCGCGCUCCCCCUUCACUUAAACAAGCGCCCUUUGUUUUCUCUCUUUCGCUACGCCUAGCAGAAGACCAAACGCCCACCCGGGAGAGAGCGCCAGGCAUCAAGCAGACCAACAUCAGCGAAAAGAGGUGCCUAAACGCCAUCCUCGUCAGUACAACGCGCCCGCAUAUUCCCUCCAAGUCACCGCCAACGCCAUCCUCGUAGAGACACGGCUGUACAACAAAGCAUACGCUUACAUCCUAUUACAGUCUCUCUUUCUCUGCGUGUGCGUUUGUGGCUUCCGCUCUCCUUCGCACUUACCCGCCGGCGCGUACGUGCGUGCUUCCUCCGCAUCACUCUCGCUAACACAACCGUUUCGGGUACUGACUAACGUGAGAAGAAACAAAAAGCACCCGCUUGUCUCUUUGCUGUCUUCCGCGUAGCGCACAUACACACACGCACACACGCAUAUUAGCGAGCGGUCCCUCACCCCCCACCCCCCACUGCCUCCUGUGCCGUAGUUGUCCGUCUCUUCUGCUGCGUCGGCUUGCUUCCCGUCGUCGUUCCUCCGCUCGCUUUGUUAGCCUCUUUUCCGCUGUGCGUUUCUUGUGCGUGAAGUGUUCGGGCGUGGCACGGGCUCGCAUCCUCACACUCACUUACCCACUCACGCACACGCACCGCCCCCCUCCCUCCGUCUAUCUGUGUGAGGUGUCCUCCAUCAGGCCACCGCCGACCGCUCCCCCUCACCUGCGCUUAAGCCGGCAAGCUUUACCGUUUUUCUUGUUUUCUCCUCUUGGCUGCCGUCUCUGUGCACAAGCGCAUACACGCCUCCUCUCUCUCGCUCUCAGCGACGACACAUCUCCCUUGUGCACACCUCAAGCACCCUCACCCCGUCAAAAUGUUCAUGAAACUCUUCAAGAAGAAGGACAAGAAGGACAAGGAGGAUGAUAAGAAGUCCGAGUCGACGCCUACCUUGGAGAACAAGCGUGUGGAAACCCCUGAGCCGCCGCAGGAGAAGCUGACCAAAGACGACUUCGAGACCCUCGACGUCCUCGGCAAGGGCUCCUUUGCCUAUGUGGUGCUGUGCCGUCGCCUCUCGACGAACAAGUACUACGCCAUGAAGGUGAUCAACAAGCAGGGCCUGCUGGACCACAAGCGAGUGCAGGACGUCUUUACGGAGCGCAACGUGCUGACUCGCCUGAACCACCCCUACUUGCUGAAACUGUACUGGACCUUCCAGUCGGAGCACAAGCUGUUCUUCGUCAUGGACUACAUGCCUGGUGGUGACCUCGACAAGUACAUGAACUCCGUCCCGAAGAAGCAGCUCGACCCGGCAACGGCGCAGCUGUACGGUGCCGAAAUCCUCUUGGCCAUUAUGUGCCUGCACGAGCACAGUGUCAUAUAUCGAGAUCUGAAGCCAGAGAACAUUCUGCUGGAUGGUGAGGGUCACUGCGCUCUUGCGGACUUCGGCCUGUCCAAGGAUUUCCACAAGGACGGCCAGGACGUGUCCGACAAGGACCUGCGCGCCAACUCGUUCGUCGGGUCGCCGUUCUACGUGGCGCCUGACGUGCUGCGCCAACGUGAGUACACCAAUGCAGUGGACUUCUGGUCCUUCGGCAUUCUGCUGUACCGCAUGCUGUGCGGUCGCACUCCCUUCAAUGGCCGCAGCAUGACGGAGGUAUUCGACAACAUCUUGUACUCAGACCUCUCUUUCCCCAGUGGCGUGACGGUGUCGCCGGAAGCCAAAGACCUGAUCAGCCGUUUGCUCAUGAAGGACCCCAACCGUCGCAUCAAGGGCCCUGAGGUGAAGCAGCACCCCUACUGGACGGGGAUCAGCUUUGAGGAGGUGGCGCAGCGAAAGGUUGCCCCACCGCGGUGGACCCCACUGCCGUCGGUGGAGGAGAUGCUGGCUGCGCGCAAAAAUGUCAGCGCUGGCCCCUCGACCUCUUUGAAGAACCCGCACCAAGUCGUGAAUACGCCGGCACAGAGCUCGCAGCUCAACGAUGGCCAGCAGAGGCUGUUUGGCGGCUUCUCCUGCACGGCGGACAGCCACCUGAACAACAGCUGACGCGGCCAGAGCAUGCGCGAACCUGCGAACGCGGGCUGCUGCGUCGCCAAAGGACGGGAGGGCACAGGAAAGGAAUCCUUAAAACGGAAAUACAACCGAAGACGCGUUUUCGUUUGUUUACGCUUUCGUUUCCGUCAACUUAGCGUUGGGUGGUGUCUCCCUUGCGUUUGGCGUGCGUGUGUUUGUCUUUCACACGCACGCCCCUCCCCCUCUCCCUCACUCCUUCGUUUUCUGCAUGAAGACAAGAAGAAGCCAUGUACUCUACAAUCCAGGCAAGCACACAGAGACGCGCUCCCACACACCCGCAUACCCAGGACGAUAUCACACAAGCGGAAUCGUUGUGCGCACGCACGGUGUGGAGGGUGGCGCCAAGUUGUCUUCGCAUGCCUUCACAUGCCUGAGCGCGCGUGUGCAUGAGUGUGACGAUACAGCCAACGACUGCCUGAAUGGUCCACCCACGCCGGCGAAGAUUUUCGCAUAGACGCGCAUACACAGCAGCGAAUCGUUAUCAUGCGCACGAAGACUUGUGAAAGGGAGUGUUGGGCCAUUCUUUAUCCGUGCACCACCAGUCUCUCCCUCAUACACGCGCGCUCCCUCCACUAAGCACACGUCCGACGUCAACGGCCACAACCCCCUCUCGCCUUCCUUCCCUUCCCUUUCCUUCCCUUCUCUCCCUCCCUCUCCCUCUCCCUCUCUGUGUGGGCGCGUGUGCGUGUGUUUGCUUAGAUUAUUAUCUCUUCACCUUUUCUCCCUUUUGCUCGCUCUACACCUGCCGCCGUCGUCAUCUUGCUGUUUUGCUUACACGUGCCCAUGCCCUUCCGGAUCUCUUACUCGCUGCUAUCGGCACACUUCUCGUUGCAGCGUGGCCCGCGUGUGUCUCUCUGUGCGUCGGUCUUCCCAUGUAUGAGUGCCACCGCUGAAAUGUGAUCUCUCUCUUUCUGUGGCUGCGCCCGGUGCGGACGCAGCCAAUAUGUGCGUAGCACACCGCCCCUCUCUCGCUCUUUCCUCACCGGCGGGGGCACUACGAGAGAGAGAGGUACGCGAUCGUGCGAUGCUGGCUGGUGCCCCUCUACUUUUUGAUGUUUUCGUCUUCUCUUGUGGAUCUACCAAACCCCUUCUUCCCCCGGUUCCCUCCGUUUCCUUGUGCUUCCCAUCUACCCACCCGCCUUCCAUACGCCGCCAAAGUCUUGUUGUGAGUUGUUCGUUUUCUGUUCUGUUUUUCUUUGUUCGGCAUUCUUGAACUGGCUCCUCGUGUUCUUCCCUGCCCUUCCUCUCCGCCAUUCGCACACAUGCACACCCCUCCUCUCACCAUCUCCACCUCCUAGUUGUCCUUUUCACCGCAUCCAUCGGCGUGGAGUUGUGUAGGGGCGAGCAGGUUCACGUGCGCUGUUUUAUGUGUAUGUGACUGUGUCUGGGUUCGAGCCUUGGAAACAGCUCUCUCGCCAAGGCUCGUCGGACUACCGCGUCUGUUUGCCUAUCAACCUCACUUACUCUCUUUUCGUCUUGCCUUUCUUUUCUUCAUUCACUGCCGCUAGCAGUGUCAUUCCCCCCUCCCCCCGCUUCGUCUCCUGCUGAGUCGUGCCUCCCCUUGCUCACACUGUACACUUGCGUACUCAGCAAUACCGCCAUGCGUGUCGCUGGGUGUGACAUCCGCCCGUAUACAUAUAUAUAUUUGGGGCUCGACUGCCUUGCCACAGACAUGUGUGCGUGUGUCUCGGGUGGACAGGCCCACAAGGCGGCAUGUGGGUGGACAGAGGAGGUACGCGACCGGAUGCGAUGCGCGUGCGGGUGCCGCAACGGCUGCACACCCGAAUCGCAAGCGAAGGUCUUUCUCCCACACUCGUUUCGUGCGACUGCCCUCUUCUUUUGGCUUGCUUGAUUUCGUUUUUUUUUUUUGCCUCUUUGGGUUUGCAGUUCUUUUUUGAACUGCACGAACAUGGACGACUGUGUGCUCUCAGGGUGUGUGAGAGUGUUGUGGUCUCCGUGCCUUUGGCUCUUGAGUGAGAGGAGAAUGUGCAUCAGCGUGCUUGUCUGUCUCUGCGCGUGUGUGACACCCGCGCCCCGCCGCGUUUAUAGCGUGUGUAGAUACUUGAGUGUUUGUCCGUUUUUCUCUUCUUUGGCGUGCGCGUGUGUUUGAGGCCUUUGCCUGUGCAGGCGGGCGCCUGCGUUGUAAGGAGGAGAGAGAGAUCAUGCGACUCGGUUUCUCUUUUAGAAGAGUUUUCCUCGAGAUCGAGAGCGGGUUAUGAAGCGCGUUGUCAUGUGUGCACGGCUCUUUGGGUGUUCACAUGCGCCUUUCUGUUCGCGUAGGCAUGCAAAUAUGCAUAUAUGUGUUUGCGUGUGUGUAUGUGGAGGACAGAGGCGAAACAGCUCUCGAAUGCAGCGCGCGUCGACAGCCACCCGCCCAGACGGGCAC